rnacentral:rRNA from 1 species
UCGCGAAUUUUUCACAAUGGGCGCAAGCCUGAUGAAGCCACGCCGUGUGCGGGAUGAAGGCCCUCUGGGUUGUAAACCGCUGUCAAGUGGGGGGAAACGCGUGAGGUGAAUAGCCUUACGUUUGACUGCCCGCUAAAGGAAGCCCCGGCAAAACAUGUGCCAGCAGCCGCGGUAAUACAUGUGGGGCAAGCGUUGUUCGGAAUUACUGGGCAUAAAGGGUGCGUAGGUGGUUUGUUAAGUCAGUGGUGAAAUCCGGUGGCCCAACCAUCGAACUGCCAUUGAUACUGGCGAACUUGAGUGCGUGAGGGGUGACUGGAACGAGUGGUGUAGCGGUGAAAUGCGUAGAUAUCACUCGGAAUACCAAAGGCGAAGGCAGGUCACUGGUACGUAACUGACACUGAGGCACGAAAGCGUGGGGAGCAAACAGG